rnacentral:rRNA from 1 species
GAUGAACGCUGGCGGCGUGCCUAAUACAUGCAAGUCGAGCGAACGGACGAUAAGCUUGCUUCUUUGAUGUUAGCGGCGGACGGGUGAGUAACACGUGGAUCACCUACCUAUAAUACUGGGAUAACUUCGGGAAACCGGAUCUAAUACCAGAUAAUAUUUUGAACCGCAUUGUUCAAAAGUGAUAGACGGUCUUGCUGUCACUUAUAGCUGGAUCCGCGCUGCAUUAGCUAGUUGGUAAGGUAACGGCUUACCAAGGCAACGAUGCGUAGCCGAACUGAGAGGAUGAUAGGCCACACUGGAACUGAGACACGGUCAAGACUCCUAAGGGAGGCAGCAGUAGGGAAUCUUCCGCAAUGGGCGAAAGCCUGACGGAGCAACGCCGAGUGAGUGAUGAAGGUCUUCGGAUCGUAAAACUCUGUUAUUAGGGAAGAACAGAUGUGGAAGUAAAUGUGCACAUAUUGACGGUACCUAAUCAGAAAGCAACGGCUAACUACGUG